AGAACGGGAGAGAAAGAGAGAGCGUACAUUCAAAAGCAAAACAGGAGAAAAGCGAAAUUGAAGCUUAAAUGUCGAGAUUUCUUUUUCUCCAAUCAUGGCUUCUUAUAUUUUGCUUAGCUUUCUCCACUUGUUUAGCAGGACCUGCGCCCUGGGUUAUUCGCAUAAGCUGUGGAUCUCGUGUAAAUGUGCGUACUCUCCCAACCAAUACACUUUGGUACAAGGAUUUUGCGUAUACAGGAGGAAUUCCUACUAAUUCAACUGCGACAAGUUAUGUUGCUCCUCCACUUAAAACUCUCCGCUAUUUCCCUCUAUCUGAAGGUCCCAACAAUUGCUACAAUAUUAAAAGAGUGCCAAGGGGACAUUAUUCUGUGAGAGUCUUCUUUGCAUUGGUUGCUCAUCAGGAUCCUGACCCUAAUUUUGAUAAUGAACCUCUAUUUGACAUUUCUGUCGAAGGCACCCAGAUUUAUUCUUUGCAAUCAGGUUGGAGUAGCCAUGAUGAUCAAGUAUUUACUGAAGCCCAAGUGUUCCUCAUAGAUGGCACUGCCUCGGUCUGUUUCCAUAGCACUGGUCAUGGAGAUCCAGCAAUCCUUUCAAUUGAAAUUCUUGAAGUUGAUGAUCGAGCUUACUAUUUUGGCCCAGAGUGGGGUCAAGGGGUGAUCCUCAAAACAGUGACCCGAUUGAGUUGUGGUAAUGGGAAGUCAAAAUUUGAUGUAGAUUAUAGUGGGGACCGAUGGGGUGGGGAUAGAUUUUGGAAUAAAAUGCCUACGUUUGGACAGAAUUCAGAUAAAGCUAUAUCUACUGAAAAUAGCAUUAAGAAGGCUUCAAAUGCACCAAACUUCUACCCGGAAGCUCUUUAUCAGACUGCCCUUGUUAGCACUGAUAGUCAGCCAGAUUUAACAUAUACAAUGGAUGUGGAUCCUAAUAAAAACUACUCAAUAUGGUUACACUUUGCUGAGAUUGAUGUUUCAAUCACUGGUGUAGGGAAAAGGGUAUUUGACAUCCUGAUUAAUGGUGAUAUUGUAUUUGAAGGAGUAGAUGUUGCCAAAAUGAGUGGGGAUCGUUAUACUUCUCUUGUACUUAACACAACAGUUGCUGUUAAGGGGAGAACUUUGGCAAUUACCCUGCACCCUAAAGAAGGCAACCAUGCCAUCAUUAAUGCCAUUGAGGUAUUUGAGGUCAUCACAGCUGAGUCCAGAACUUUAUUGGAAGAAGUUAGGGCUUUACAGGCAUUAAAGAGUGCAUUGAGCCUUCCACUUCGGUUUGGCUGGAAUGGUGAUCCAUGUGUUCCCCAACAACAUCCAUGGAGCGGAGCAGAUUGUCAGUUUGACAGAACUAGCAACAAAUGGGUCAUCGAUGGACUUGGUCUUGACAACCAAGGUUUGAGUGGUUUCCUGCCAAAUGACAUAUCUGGUCUUCAUCAUUUACAGAGCAUAAACUUAAGUAGUAACAACAUUCGUGGGGCUAUUCCAUCAUCAAUUGGAACGAUAACCAGCUUAGAAGUACUGUAAGUGUAACUUAUUCAUUUGUCACAUUGUUAGCUGCCUAGCUUGAUGUGGCAUUAAUGGUUUGGUAGAAGAAAGGGUUAAUUUUGCAAGCUAAUUUAUGCAAAAUUAUUUUUAAGAAAACAAGGAAAAUACUUAGAGUCAUCACUCCAGUAAUUUUGCUUUAUUUGUUCUCAGUUGCAUACUGUCAUAUUGAUUUUUUUUUUCUUUAAUUUGGAGUAGAUUGCAUCAAUACAUUGUCUUAUCACAUCUAGUUGCAUGGCAGGGACCUCUCUUACAACUUCUUCAACGGAUCAAUUCCUGACAGCAUUGGACAGUUGGCUUCGCUGCGGAGAUUGUAUGAUCUUUCACAUGGCUAAUUAACUGAUGUUGUUUAGAUGUUCAGAAGAAACUCUAAUUCAAGUUUUUAUGGUGCAGGAAUCUCAAUGGCAACUCCUUAUCUGGAAAAGUUCCUGUUCCACUAGGAGGAAGGCUUUUGCAUGGCGCUAGCUUCAAUUUUACUGAUAAUUCAGGUCUUUGUGGUAUACCUGGAUUGCCUACGUGUGGGCCCCACCUAUCUGCUGGUGCAAAAAUUGGCAUUGCCUUUGGUGCAUCUGUGGCAUUCCUCGUCAUGGUUAUCUGUUCGAUGUGUUGGUGGAAAAGACAACAGAAUAUUCUUCGUGCACAACAGAUUGCUGGUAAGGACAAACACAAUGAUAAGACAGUAUGAUUUAUUUGUAUAUCACUGUUAACAAAUUGUGAAUUUCUAGCAAUAGAUGUUGGAUAAUAUUGUGGACAGCUAAUCUAAUCUAUAUACCCUAAUGCUUCCCUCUGGACUUCCUAAUGUGACCAGUAAAAGAAAAAUGGUCUCAAGACCUUGCAGUUGUAGAAAAUGGAUUGAACACAAAAGCCUGAUUGAGAUGUAACAUUAGGUUUCUGUUGGGUGCAAAUUAACAUCCUACCUUCUUUUGUCUUUUUUAACAGCAAGAGGCGCACCUUAUGCGAAAGCAAGGACCCAAACAACACAUGAUAUCCAGAUGACAAGGCAUCAUAAUCAUGGAUAUGCACGGACAGCCGCUGAGAAUGGGCCUAGCUUACUGUCAUGACUCAUCAACCAUCUCCUCCAGAAUCCACUCCAUUUGAAAUUAGGCUCCUGAUUUGUUUUCUGGAAUUGGAUUUGCUUCUGAACAAGAGUCCCAAGAACAGAUGAUCGAUUUGGCAUGGUUCUAGAAUUCAUGGGCUGCCUAACGUGACCAUUCUUGGAUAAUAUUGUUCAGUGAAGUUGGAUAGGUUGGGUAGAAACGCUGUUGCAUCCAUCCUUGGUAUCAUCAAAUGCCAUAUAGAAUGAAAAGUCAUGUACAUUUUUUCAUUUCUUUUCCAGCAAAGGAAUGUUGUAAUAAGUUAAGAACUGAUGCCUAUGGAUAAAUUAAAUGUUUCCUGGUUCUCUACAUUUCAUUGCUAGUUUCGAAGGAACAUAUCCUUUGAGGUCCUGGCACCAUGAGAUCACACAAGUUCAGGCUGAGAGGACAAUAGCAUACACAAUUGUACCUAAUCUUAUUUUUUGUUUUGUUAAUAUUGGAUCUUGUAUAUCGUUAUCUUUGAAGAAUGGGUACAUGUAAUUGUGCAAUGGUUCUUGCUUGUGUUCCUUUCUUCUUUUCUUUUAUGGUUUGUUUGGUUUCGAUAAUUGCUUUGCUACUGAUGACUAAUAUUACACUUUGUGCCUUUUCAGCAGCGAUGAAAAGUUAUGUUAUUAAUGGGAAGUAUACGGUGAAACGGUGCAUCUCCGUGCAGCGAAGUUGUCUUUUAAUCAGGUGGUGGUAAAGAU
rnacentral:misc_RNA from 1 species